GACGAACGCUGGCGGCGUGCUUAACACAUGCAAGUCGAACGGAAAGGCCCUGCUUUUGUGGGGUGCUCGAGUGGCGAACGGGUGAGUAACACGUGAGUAACCUGCCCUUGACUUUGGGAUAACUUCAGGAAACUGGGGCUAAUACCGGAUAGGAGCUCCUGCUGCAUGGUGGGGGUUGGAAAGUUUCGGCGGUUGGGGAUGGACUGGCGGCUUAUCAGCUUGUUGGUUGGGUAGUUGCUUACCAAGGCUUAGACGGGUAGCCGACCUGGGAGGGGGACCGGGCACAAGGGGACUAAGAGAGGGAGCAGACGGCAAUGGGAGGCAGUAGGGGGGAGUAUGACACAAUGAGCGGAAGCGUGAUGCGGAGACGCCGGGGGCGGAAUGACGUCCUUCGGGGUAAGAACCGCUGUCGCCUGAGACGAAGCGGGAGUGACGGUAAUGGGUAAAGAAGCACCGGCUAACUACGUG
rnacentral:rRNA from 1 species